GAGGCCUUGGCUUANGUUAAAGUGUCUGAGUUGCAAUCAGGAGAUGUAUAUAAGGUUAUGCAGGUCUU
rnacentral:tRNA from 1 species